rnacentral:lncRNA from 1 species
UCUCCUGGCUCUUCUUGGAUCUACCCGAAGCGAGGGCGUGGAAAGCUGCGAAGAAGUUCGGAAACUUUUCCAGUGGAGGCUUGGGGGAGCUGUCAAGGGGCUGCCGGAGGCGCCGCGGGCAGGACCUGAUCUUCAGGUGUGCCUAUCCAAAAACCCAACGUGCUGUACCAGGAAGAUGGAGGAGCAGUACCAGAUUGCCGCUCAGCAGGAUUUGCAGCAGGUGCUACAGACAUCCAGCUCAACACUAAAGUUGCUAAUAUCUCGGAAUGCAGCUGCUUUUCAAGUCCUCCUACCUGUGUCCCUACCCUUGUGAACCUUGGUCUUCUCCAGCAAACAAGAAAG